AGAGUAGCCGCGGUAAUACGUAGGUGGCAAGCGUUGUCCGGAAUUAUUGGGCGUAAAGCGAGCGCAGGCGGUUAGAUAAGUCUGAAGUUAAAGGCUGUGGCUUAACCAUAGUACGCUUUGGAAACUGUUUAACUUGAGUGCAAGAGGGGAGAGUGGAAUUCCAUGUGUAGCGGUGAAAUGCGUAGAUAUAUGGAGGAACACCGGUGGCGAAAGCGGCUCUCUGGCUUGUAACUGACGCUGAGGCUCGAAAGCGUGGGGAGCGAACAGGAUUAGAUACCCGGGUAGUCCCUGUCUCUUAUACAC
rnacentral:rRNA from 1 species